GAUGAACGCUGGCGGCGUGCCUAAUACAUGCAAGUCGAGCGAACGGACCAGGAGCUUGCUUCUCUGAUGUUAGCGGCGGACGGGUGAGUAACAUGUGGAUAAUCUACCUAUAAGACUGGUAUAAUCUCGGGAAACCGGAGCUAAUACGGGAUAAUCUCUUGAAGCGCAUGGUUCGUAAGUGAAUUUCGGUCUUGCUGGCACUUAUCGAUGGAUCCGCGCUUGGUUAGCUAGUUGGUAAGGUAACGGCUUACCAAGGCAACGAUGCAUAGCCGACCUGAGAGGGGGAACGGCGCCUGUGGAAGUGAGACACGACACAGACACCUACGUGAGGCAGCAACAGCGAAGCUACCGCACUGUGCGAAAGCUUGCAGGAGCGACGCAGCGUGAGUGAUGCAGGGCUGCGGAUCGUAAAACGCUGUUAUUGGGGAAGACCAUAUUUGUCAGUAACGGUGCGUAUGUGGAGGGAAUCGAAACAGAAGGCCAGGCUUAACUCCUG
rnacentral:rRNA from 1 species